rnacentral:rRNA from 1 species
ACGAGUGGCGAACGGGUGCGUAACACGUAUGCAAUCUACCUUUAACUGAGGGAUAGCCCAAAGAAAUUUGGAUUAAUACCUCAUAAUAUCACGAAUUCGCAUGUUUUUGUGAUUAAAACUCCGGUGGUUAAAGAUGAGCAUGCGUAACAUUAGCUAGUUGGUAAGGUAAUGGCUUACCAAGGCAACGAUGUUUAGGGGGUCUUAAAGGAUGGUCCCCCACACUGGCACUGAGACACGGACCAG